AAGUUUAGGUUAAAAUAAACCAAGGGCCUUCAAAACCCUAAACAAGAGCAAACCCCCUCCUAACUUC
rnacentral:tRNA from 1 species